CCACCGCAGUUUGUCCUACACACUCCUACACUGUUUUUCUGUGGCCUGUCUUUAUGGUUAACUUUUGAUGCUACCUGUGGUUUUCCUGCAAACAAGUUCUGCAAAAUGAAACUUUAAUAUGUCAAAGUUUGUAGUCAGUCACUAAAGUGUCUUUAUGGACAGUCUCUGUAUUCAGCUUCAUCAUGGCUGGACGCCUGUUGUUCGUCUUCCUCAUGUAUUCCUUUCACAAGAUUCAAGUUCAAGGUCAGUUUCUGAUCUGUUAUCUUUUAUGUCAAACUAUGUUGUUAUCCCUGUAUAGGAAGUUUAUUACAGUUAUUAAAUUGACUGUUCUUAUACAUGGUUACAGUAUUUCUCUUAAUUUUAGUUAUUUAGUAUCAAAUAUAACGUGUUUCCCCCCAGCUCUUCAUCCACCUAAACUGAGAGUGAAUUCACUGGUGAUCACAGAGACAGACUCAGUCACAUUGAGCUGUGAGGCUCCAUCUUCUGUUUCUGUGUCUCAGUGUUAUUUCUACACUGUUAGUGGAGGACAUGUCAGAGUCCUUCCUUGUAUGAAGAGACUGACAGGAACUGAACUGCUGUUAAUGUCACAUCAGAGUUCACCUGCUGAGGUUGAAGUGAAAUGUUAUUACACUGUAAAGAUUGGGGAUUUAAAUUCUCCAUCUCCACACAGUGACAUAUCCACCAUCACCAUACACAGUGUGUAACUCCUUUUCCCAUUCUUUCAUAUGUUAUCAUAUACUGCUGCAAGAUAACAAACAAUUGUCAUUAUAAAUCAUUUGAGUUAAGUUGAAAUNNNNNNNNNNNNNNNNNNNNGUGGAAAAAGAAUCAGGGAUGAUCCAGAGGCCAACAGUCACUAAGACCACAGGUCGGACUGUUUCUACAUCAAGUGACACUGAUAGUUCUGUCUCUACUUUCCUGACAUCAGUGAAACCAGAAAUAAGUAGUUUGACCUUUACUCAAACAACUCUUAAAAAUCCAGCAUCUGAUGAUAAAAUAACAGUUUGGCCAGUUACAUCAAGUAAUACUGGUGGUUCCACCUCUACCUCCUUACAACCAGUGAAACCAGCAUCAGAGACAUGGAUAUGGAAGUUAAUAGCUGCGGCUGGUUGUGGUCUAACUGUGGGCGUCAUCGUGCUUUCAGUAAUUCACUGUAAAAAACGAAGAGCUGCAGGUUGGACUGUUUCUACAUCAAGUGACACUGAUAGGUCUGUUGGUAGUUCUGUCUCUACUUUCCUGACAUCAGUGAAACCAGAAAAAGGUUCUGAGGAAGUGAAAGAGCAGCAACAUCAAAAUGAGACUAAUGACACAUACCAUUUGUACUCCACCAUCUCUGAGGAACCAGCUGCAUCUGCCCUGACAACCUGUGAGACUGGAUUUGGCCUGCAGGAUAUGGUGUACAGCACCGUGCAGGCGCACUGAAAUACAAACUGUUUUAUACUGAGAAUACAGAGAAAGCUGGCAGUCAGUCACUUAUAUAACCUAGACUAUUGUUAGACUGCUGUAAUACCUUUUUCUUAGAACAAACAAACUUUAAGAUUAAACCUUUUUACCAAACCUUUACAGUCACUAAUUCUUAAGUUGUGCUUUAUGAAAAACAAAGCACAGCAUGGAUUCCUACCAUUCCCCAUUUAUAAAACUAUAGCAAGUUCAGUUAAGACUUGAUGUAAUUCUUGUUUUGUUUUCUAAUAAUAAACCAAGCCAAGAAAAAAAAGAUAAUAAUGACGCAAUUUUCUAAAAUUUGACAUAUACACCGAUCAGCCACAAGCUGGUGGUCAUAAUGUUCUGCAGCCCCAUACCAACAAACUGUGAUCCACUGUGUGUUCUGACACCUUUCUAUCAGAACCAGCAUUCACUUUUUCAGCAGUUUGAGCUACAGUAGCUCGUCUGUUGGAUCAGACCACACAGGCCAGCCUUCACUCCCCACGUGCAUCAAUUUGCCUUGGCUGUCCAUGUCUCUGGUGGUUCAGCACCUUUGAUAGGUACUUACCACUGCAGACUGCGAAUACCCAACAAGAGCUGCAGUUUUGGAGAUGCUCUGACCCAGUUAUCUAGCCUUCACAAUGUGGCCCUUGUCAAAGUUGCUCAAAUCCUUAUGCUGCCCAUUUUUCCUUCUAACACAUCACUUUGAUGACAAAAUGUUCACUUGCUGCCAAAUAUAUCCCACCCACUGACAGGUGCCGUGAUAAGCAGAUAAUCAGUGUUAUUCACUUUAUCUGUCAGUGAUCACAAUGUUAUGGCUGAUUGGUGUAUAUACAUAGACAUUGUGGGGAGUAUUUUCAAACUUCACUAAAUUAGUUUUUGCUUCUGAUUUUCAUGUCGAUUAUUUGUGCUUUUAUAGUUACUGAAAAUAACUCACUUAUUCUGUCACUUCUACUCAAGCUUUUCUUGAAAGAGCUCACUCUUGUCUGAUUCACAGAAACAUUUUAGACAGCAUAAAUUCACAUAAAAAGACUAUAACCACAAUUUAAAUUAAUUUAGACAACAUAGAUCAACUAUCAACCUACAAAGUCCACAGGACUACGGAGAACAUUCAGGCUAAGAGGAACAUGUGAAGUAGGAUGUAACCUGGUUUGAUGUUAAUUUCCGAAACAGUUUUCUUCUAAUGAGCAAAAAAAUGACCCUGUAAGAAAAUAAAAUUGUGUUAAAUAACAGCAAAAUAAAUGCAUGUCCUCUGGUCACUGUGUAAAGUCUGUUAAAGCUAUGUCCAAUAAUAUAUGGCAUUACAUUUGUCUAAUGACAAUGUUGUCUAAUGAGUCUAUCAUUGGUAGCAUUAAAUGUUGUCUCAUAAUUCGGUAGUUUGGGUAUUCGCGUGUAUAUAUUGGAUCUGAUAUAACAUUAUAGGCCUAUCUGCUUUCUUUCUCCUAUUUGGUUUCUAAUUAGAGUAUAAUUUGUUAUUUAGUGUGGUAUAUUUUGGGUCUGAUACAGCAGUAUGUUUCUAAUUACACAAUAAUUUUGUUGUAUGGUGUCUAAUUAGGGUAUUACCGUGUUUGUUUACUGUCUAAUAGUGAACAUAUUUCUAGUUUUAAUCUAAAUUGAUCAAAUUACGGUGUAUAAUCUCUUAUUAGUUAACUUUAAAAUAAAGUUAGUACUUCACAAUGAACAGUUUACCUCAGGGUUUAAAGAUACUAUAACUGUAAUAAUUUUCAAAGGCCUGUUUGAGCAGAGAUGUGCAUAGAUAAUUUGUUCAAGCACUCAACCCACUUUACUAAAUUCUCUAUUCCCACAUAGCCAUUAAUAAUGACACUCAGUGUAGACAGAUAGGGAACAUAUUGACUCAUGAAUCAAAUGGGGACUAACCAGAAAGAUCUAACAUUAGUUUACUUCCUUCCUGCCACAAAUUUUGAUGGGAAACUGAACACACUUGAAAUAUUGUGAUCUGUCAUCACUUGGGACAGCUGUGCACAUUCGAAAGAGCUUCACAUGAAGCAGCAAGUUGGUCUGUAAACUGUAGACAGUUUGGGUGAUAAUUUAACCUUUCACCUUCUGUUUUCAUCGAAAUAAUAAUAAUAAAAAAAAGUUAGUCUUCAAGUCAUUUUUACAACAACAAGAAAGCAAAGAAAAUUAAUAACAACAUGAAAAACCAGUUGGUGAUAGUAAAUAUGAUCUAAAUAUACUUUACCACACAUACUGGGGCUUUAUAAAUGAUGUCAAGUGUGUGUAUUCAUGAGGUCUCAUAGUAAGAGGAGGACCGGCAAAAAGCUUCUCUUGUCUGAAGACACUGACAGGAACUGAGCUGUUGAAGAUGUCACAUCAUAGUUCACCUGCUGAGGUUAAACUUGCAAGUUUUUACAUUAACGUAUGUCCUGAGAUACGUUCUCUAUUAUCAUCCAAAGUGAGUAAAACUGCUGCUAUAAAAAAAUAUUUCAAUCAGGAGAGACACAUUUAUUUAUAAUAACAUGUGAUGAUUAAGUCUUGACACUAAGUCUUUUUUGUGUUAGAGGGGCGUCUGCAGCAAGAUAAAUCCUCCCGCUCCAGACACUGGUGGUGGUGGCUGAUGAUUCUGCUGAGGUUCAAACACAGUUUAAUACCGAAGUGUAAAACCCUUUUAACAGUUUGUCUGAUAAGGAAAUGUAUGUAAGCUCUAGGAGUCAGAUUUUCACAAUCACUGCAUCGUGAGAUUGACUCAUUUUUAGGAGUUAAACAACUUCUCAAAAGACUUAAACGCCAGAUAGUUAAUACUAUAGUCAGAGAUACUAAAGAAUUGACUGUUUGUAGUAAAUGGUCAGUUAGAUUUAGCAAAAAGGUUGUGCUGAGUGUAUCAGGGGAAGUUUUAAUGGCCUUGCUGAAAGCCACAACCAACUAUUGAAUAAGCCACUGAUGGUGAAGCAUGGUGAUGGAAACAGAUGAUGACUGUCAGCUAUUUUUAUAUACAUUUUAUAUACAGACUGUGCAGUAUAUUAUAAUAUUGAAGCUUAAACUGGGUGUGAUAGUUUUCAUGAACACACACUGAGUGUUCACUCUCUCUUAUUUCUUGCAACAACUAGCAGAGCAGACAGUCUCUUAAUGACCAUGUGGACUAUUGCACAGGCUUCAGCGUCCCCUACUGACCAAAUGGCCUUCCACCUUAGGCAAGGCAGCUAUUUAUAGCAAGUUUCAAACACUGAAUAUUCAAAGUGCUUUACAUAGGCAAAGAAAAACAUUUAAAUGACAUUUAACAACAAUAUACAAUAAAAAUUAAUAAAAUCAAGUAUGAAUGAACAAAACACCAAAACUUUAUGGGAUACAAUCAUCUUAUUGUGUGUGUCUUUCUUUUUGAUUUUGAGCCUCAAAAUAACAAUGUAAGUCUGACAUGAGGAACAAUAUUAAAUAUAAUUUUCAUAUAUAUUGAUAAAUGCUACAGUUGGUUCUUUUCCCAGUAUGACACAUAUACGUUUUGUACACUACCAUAUCUGAGGAGCAAGCUGUAUCUUCCCAGAAAGACAUGAUUUACAACACUGUGCAGACACACUGAAAUGCAAACAGUUUUACAGCCUAAAGAACUCAAGAACUUGUAAAUGUUGUGUUUAAAGUUGACUUGUAGAUUAUAAUCAGGACCAAUGUCAAACUACUGUAAUGUCUUUUUCUCAGAUCAAAGUACAAGAUUAAACCAAAUGAUUACAGUUUUUUUCCGAGAUUUACAGCCAGAUUCAAUUUGCAUUUUGCACACGCACACACACACACAUACACAAACAUACACGCACACAGACACGCACACACACACACACACACACACACACACACACACACACACACACACACACACACACACAGAGUCUACACUCUACAGACUGUUUAGUUUGGGCAUUUAAUAGAAAAAGCUGAAACAGAGGUGCUGUAAAUCAAAUGUAAUCAUCUUUCUUCAGAGUUCAGCCUCCAGUGUGGUUGAUUUGACCUAAAUAAAACACAAAGGUAUUUUAAAAAGGAUGUCAAGUGUGUGUAUUUCUGUGACCUUUCUGUUAACAUCUGAUACUAGCUGUGGUUAACUGAGAAAGAGGUAUUCAGAAUGAUACAUAAGUAUGUCAGAGUCUGUAGUCAGACACUAAAGUAUCUUUAUGGACAGUCUCAGUAUUCAGCUUCAUCAUGGCUGGACACCUGUUGUUUGUCUUCCUUAUGU
rnacentral:lncRNA from 15 species